UAAUACGAAGGGCCCGAGCGUUGUGCGGAUUCACUGGGCUUAAAGGGUGCGUAGGCGGAUGUGUAAGUGCGUUGUGAAAGCCCACGGCUCAACCGUGGAACUGCAGCGCAUACUGCACAUCUUGAGAUCGGUAGGGGUUGUCGGAACUGUAGGUGUAGCGGUGAAAUGCGUAGAUAUCUACAGGAACACCAAUGGCGAAGGCAGACAACUGGGCCGAUUCUGACGCUGAGGCACGAAAGCGUGGGGAGCAAACAGGAUUAGAUACCCUGGUAGUCCACGCCGUAAACGAUGUGCACUAGGUGCUGGUACCUCUGACGGUUUCAGCGCCGAAAAGAAAUCGAUAAGUGCACCGCCUGGGGAGUACGGUCGCAAGGCUA
rnacentral:rRNA from 1 species